rnacentral:rRNA from 1 species
UACGUAGGGUGCGAGCGUUGUCCGGAAUUAUUGGGCGUAAAGAGCUCGUAGGUGGUUUGUCGCGUUGUUCGUGAAAACCGGGGGCUUAACCCUCGGCGUGCGGGCGAUACGGGCAGACUUGAGUACUGCAGGGGAGACUGGAAUUCCUGGUGUAGCGGUGAAAUGCGCAGAUAUCAGGAGGAACACCGGUGGCGAAGGCGGGUCUCUGGGCCGAUACUGACGCUGAGGAGCGAAAGCGUGGGGAGCGAACAGG